CCGUCGAUAGCUCAGUUGGUAGAGCGGUGGACUGUAGAAACGAGUAACAAUAAAAGAGAAAGGUGUUACACUUACGUAAAAGAGGUAUCCAUAGGUCGCUGGUUCAACUCCGGCUCGACGGA
rfam:Daphnia magna strain Xinb3 scaffold01290, whole genome shotgun sequence.